CCCAUCAGCAACCAGACUCAACAUCUGGACAUCACUCACUUCUGUCACACAUGUGCAGUUCCUCCAGACUCAGUGUCUCUGAUAGUGUUGAUCUCUGCUGCUGCUGCUGCUGGAUCUCUGUUGAUUAUAGUUGCAGUCGGAAUCUGGUGCAUCUGCAGGAAAUGUAAAAAAGCAGCACACCAAACCCAACAGAAACACAAAACUGAUUCAGCUGUGUGUAAACAAAGAAAACGAAAGAAGGAUUCAAAGGAGUCCGUGUAUGGAAAUAUCCCAAAACGCUGAUCAGAUACAACAACUCUUCCAGGAUGUUUUUCUUCCUCACUGUUUUUUUUUUUUUUUUUUUUUUUUUUUCAAUUUAAUCUGUUUUUUCUUUUUCUUUUGCAACUCUCAUAAGUUGAUAUUGUUGUAUCUGAAAUUUUGUUGCUUUGUAUUAAUUUAAUUAGUAAUUCACAAGUGGCAAAUCAUCCAGAAAUUAAAACUAAAUGUUUUAUUUUUAGCUCACACACAUUGAAAUGUACUAAUUUUUUAAAUAUUGAUCCCACCCUUCACUGUUCACACACACAGUCCUGUUUAAAAAGUAAACUGAACAUCAAUGCACAGUUGCUCACAGUAUCUCACAUGUUCUGCUGGAUAUUUAGGCAAAUUCAGCGCAUCAUCGCCCUCUAGUGUCCAAAGCAGAAACUCACAUCUCUCUAAUAAUAGCUCUAAUUUUACCCGACACAGUGCGCUAUAAAUAGAUGCUGCAGUUCACACAGAGGAAGAACUGAAGAACCCAAUAUAAGGAAUUAGUAAUGCGCGAAACACGCUUCAUGGUGCUUCGACACUUUUUUUUUUUUCAACAUUAAUAAUAAUCUUUUUUUUUUUUUUUUUUAAUUGAACAAAUUUCACAUAUAUUCAACAUAUAUAAAUGUUUCACAAAUAAUGCUUUGAUGAAUUUGAUAUAAUCAAGUGCUUCGACACUUUUGCAAAUCAUUCGUUUCGAUUCGGUGACGUGGAAAGCGUAUCAAGCAUAGACUGUAAAAAAAGGAUAUCAAGGAUCAAAAUAUAAAAGUCACGUGGUUUGAGUACUAUCCAGAAAUUCCAAUGGUGCGCCGCUAGGGGGCGAUGAUCACUGUGAACCCACGAACUAGUCUAGUGUGUUUGUUUUUUUUACCUUCUCGGACCAGUUUUAUACAUUUGUACGCAUUUACUAUCACAUUUCUAUAAAUAAAAAGGAAGAGUUUAAGUUAAAAGUCUCUUGGACUGAUUAGCUCUCCAUAAAACAAACAAAACAAACCCGGAAAUGUAGCCUAAUAAAAUUGGCUUAUCACAUAUUAUAAAGACACUUCAUGAUGGUAUUAGAUGGCUUGUUAAUGGCAUUUAAUAGAUUACAACUUAAAACAUUUACAAUUGGCCUGUAAAAGGUGUUUUAUGCAUGUUUGAAUUUAGUUUUCGCUGCUUUUACACUGUUCUGACCAGCAGGAGUCACCAGCGUGUGGCGAUUCGAACCAGUGAAUCAUUUCGCGAAGCAGUUGAUU